GGGGAUGUCAAGGUUUCGACGGGGGUCGACGAGAUCCUGGGAGCUAUCCGUGGGCCGGGCCACGCAACAACCGGACCUAAAUAUAAACGCUAACGACGAAUCUAAUUUCGCUUUUGCUGCUUGAUCAUUUGAUCGCAGCCGCUCUUGCAUAGACGACCCGCGGUCUGUGCCGGGGCCCAUCCAUAGCGGGCCACUUACGUACGUCGCCCGGGCGUUCGUAAAGAUCUUUACCGGGCUGCCGGUGCCCACUGCCCUGCCGACGGGGCUGGAAUCCGGGAGAUCUUAAACAUCGGCUAUGAUAGUAGAGCCCAAGAUGGAGGGGCUUUCGGACAUGGGUUCAAUUCCCAUCAUCUCCAU
rnacentral:tmRNA from 1 species